AGAGAAGUUGAAAAAGUGAAUUUCUAUUUAGAGAAAGAGUGUAUGUUUGAUGAGAAAUUAAGAGAAAGGGAGAGAAAAGGGAUGAGAGAUAGAGAACAAAAGAGGGAGAAUUUGUGAGAAAUUUCUGGAGUUUUUCCAUUAAUUGAAUUCAAAACCGAAAGAGCACAGAUGGAACAUCUCAUUUUAUACAGUGGAUAAGCUACAUA
rnacentral:misc_RNA from 1 species